rnacentral:rRNA from 1 species
AACGAACGCUGGCGGCAUGCCUAACACAUGCAAGUCGAACGAGACCUUCGGGUCUAGUGGCGCACGGGUGCGUAACGCGUGGGAACCUGCCCUUAGGUUCGGAAUAACUCCCCGAAAGGGGUGCUAAUACCGGAUAAUGUCUUCGGACCAAAGAUUUAUCGCCUUUGGAUGGGCCCGCGUUGGAUUAGCUAGUUGGUAGGGUAAAAGCCUACCAAGGCGACGAUCCAUAGCUGGUCUGAGAGGAUGAUCAGCCACACUGGGACUGAGACACGGCCCAGACUCCUACGGGAGGAAGCAGUGGGGAAUAUUGGACAAUGGGCGAAAGCCUGAUCCAGCAAUGCCGCGUGAGUGAUGAAGGCCUUAGGGUUGUAAAGCUCUUUUACCCGGGAUGAUAAUGGCAGUACCGGGAGAAUAAGCACCGGCUAACUCCGUG